rnacentral:rRNA from 1 species
AUGGCAAUCGUUCCAGCAAUGCCGACAAGCACACCUUUGCAGACUAGCACAAGCAACACUCAAGCAGAUGAAACAACCGUCGAUACUGAAGUGAAUGAUGAAGCCGAUGACGAAGCACAAGGGGAUGAAGAUGGUGGGCAAUCAGAAAUCAUAGUACCUCAGGCACCGUAUCUUGGGCAGAGAUUUGAUUCAUUUGAAAAUGCAAAGGAAUUCUACCAGAUAUAUGCAAAGUUCCAUGGGUUUGUGGUCAACACCGAAUACCACAGGAAAAUUAAAAAAACUAACGAGUACAGCAGAGGUGAGAUCAGGUGCUACAAGGCACGAAGAAACAAGAAGGGCAAAGGUGAUGCGCCUGUUGUUCCGGAACGAAAGAGAGGUAUCAUUGUCAAGGUGGAAUGCCCUGUCCGAUGUAAGCUGAACGUAGAUGGAGCACAGUGGGUGGUCAAUGAAUAUUUUGACGAGCACAAGCACGAGCUAAUAAAGAAGUUUGGCCUGGUAAAAUUUCUGACCGCCCACAGGGGAUUCACCCCCCUCGUGAAGAAAUUCAUAAAGCUGCUACAUGAUUGUAAUGUCGGUCCAUCAAGAAUGGUCCAGAUACUCUCCCUCAUCCACAGCAAAAAUGGGACUCUGAGUAGCAUGCCCUACAUACCGACAGACGUCACAAACCUAAAGGCAAGAUUCCAAGAAGAAAUAAAGCGUGCCAGCAUGUACACGGCUUUCCAGGUGGACGAACAUACGUUCAAGGUGUGUUCUAUCAUGGGCAUGUCGGAUUCAGAACCUGAAGACCCGGACAAGGGAAGGAACUACUUUGUGAAGGCAUCGAUAAGCGAAGGCGAAUACUACUGCCAAUGCUGCAAAUUCAAACGCGACGGGAUUGUGUGUUGUCACAUACUAAAAGUAAUGGACAUGAACACGGUGACACAAAUGCCCUGCCAUUUCAUAAGGCGGCGAUGGACUUGGGACACUGAUGACGCAUUGGCGCCACAAACAUCAAACGCAGUUUUGGCUGUGCAUGACGAGAGACCAGAGUCAACCAUGGAAGCCGUGAGGCACGUUGCGUUGACAAAGAACUAUGGUGAACUAAUUGAUGAAGCGUGCAAGAGUGAUGAGACAGCGAGGGUCGCAGAAAAACACAGGAAGGCCCUCAAAAGAGAGCUUGAUGAGAUCAAGAAGAGGAAAGCUGAGGAAACCUUACACAGGUUUCCCCGCACAUCAAGUGUGCCUUCAUCCACGGGGCCAUCAUCUGAAAACUCGGAGGUAGAAUCUGGAACAGCAAGCACACAAACCCAGGUUAGGAACCCGCCCCGUUCCAUCACAAAAGGGCAUCCAAAAGAGACAAGAUACAAAUCGGGACUGGAGAUUCAAGCAAAACACAAGAAACCAAAGAAAGGGGCGGGCAAUCCGUAA